GGAUUGUAGCUCAGUGGUAUAAGUGCUUGCCUAGCAAGUGUGAGGCACUGGGUUCAAUCCUCAGCACCA
rnacentral:tRNA from 1 species